UUUGAUCUAGACACACAAUGCCCUUCUUUCACACUUCAAUUAAUUGAAAGCUCAAAACUACGUCCCCACAUUUGAGACAAAGAGCUUCGUGGAGAACGCUUCAACUAUGCGCGUUUUUUCUUGUUUUUGACAAGUAUGAGGGGAUUAUUUCAGUCAAAAAUGGAUAACAGGACUCAAGCCAUCCUCAUCCUGAUAAGUGUACUCGUUGCCAAUAUAACCAGUCAGACUCAACUUUCUGAAAAAGUCGCUUUUGUACCUUAUCAAGGAUUUCGGCUGCCUCUAAGACAACCAGCUCCAACAACAACAACGACACCAGCGCCGACACAAAGUCCCAAGAUUCCCAAUGUUCUUAACGCCUAUUUAGGACUUUUUGUAUCUGAAAAUGAAGCAAAAUUAGAGGACGAGGACACGUUUGGGCGAGAUCUGCCUGUGAUUCGCAACAUCAACGAGCUCUACACUAAGUCUGUUGAGCUGAGGUCGUAUGGAAAAGGCCCUAAAGGCUUUCACCCGGCCCUCGGCAACAACAUCAUCAACCGGAUGAGAAACAUGACAUCCAGAGGAAUGGUACAAUUCGGUGUUCCUGGGAACCUGGUGCGAGGUGGAGACCCCUACCUAGGGUACCAAAACCAGGGCCUUGUCAGUGGCAAUAACAAUUUCCCACAAGGUGGCCGCAAUUCCAUUAAAACUCCAUCCUAUGGAGUGCGAUCCGGUGCGUCAGGCGGGGCAGUGAGCAUCGCGACCAACCUCAUUCCCUACAGUCCAUACGGGAUCAAUAAUGACGGCGAUGCUUGUUGUCCGACAAUCCGUAGCCGAUACCAACCAAUGGACACUGUAGAGAACAUUCACGGGGAAAAAUUUGUACCCGUGCAGCUUGUGGCAUUGGGAAAAUAUCAAACGUUUGCAGUUGCUGAGUGCGACCACAAUGCUGUGAAGAUGUGCCCUGGCCAGUGCGUAACCACCACCAGUGUGUUCUCCAUUUUGGUUUUCUGUCUGAAGCACAACUCCUGCUAUAACCACAACACCGGAAGUGUGACCUUUACCUUCGAGAAAUUCCGACUCCCGACGGGAUGUGUUUGCAAAAUGUGGUCAAGACAAUAGAAAGGUUAAAGAGACGGCACUUAUCUUAUUUUGUUAGGGGUUAAAUAGAUUUUUAACCUCAUGCCAGGUGGAUUCUCACGCUACUUCUUACAGAGUUCAUGAACAGCACAGAUAUCAUUUAGAGUUCAUAAUGAUUUUUCCCAAACCUAUAUGCCAAAAUGUCAUUCUUUUGAGUUAAUAACAUACCCAGCAUAUCAUUUGAGUUUAGAGUAAGAAAGUUUUGGAAGAAAUCAAAAAUUCUUAUUUGUCGCACCGAGCAUGAUAGAAAUUGAUGACCAUUUGUGAAGUUUUUUUUUUUUUUUGACGAUUUAAUCUAAAAUAGCAAUUUUCUAAUACAACUGGCAUUAUUAACACAAUCAUGCUACUUGAGUUAAAUUGUUUUAAAAGAUAGAAAAAAAGCCAUUUGUUAUGUUUCACGAAAUUUUCCACGUGCCUGUAUAUAUAAGGACACACCCAUAUUGUUGAGGAGAAAUAAAAUUAUAUGUAAAUAUUAAAAUUGUUUGAAUUAGGGAAAUAAACUGCACCAGUUAAGGCAUGUACAUUCAUAUAAAUGUACGCACACAGGCACACUCUUUGACAAGAACAUAUAGAGAUUUACAGGAAAAAAUGCGAUCAAAAAUACCCUGGAUCAAAGGCACAUGUAUCGCACAUAGUAUUUUGGCAUACGAAAAAAAUGCGACUAACGUUUUUAUCCUUACAUUUUUACUCUUAAAGGUGAUUCAUAUAUUUAUUUUAUUUUAUUGGCAUUUUAACAUGUAAACAAUUUUAAGUACUAAUUUAAUGACACUAUAUCAACUCAGAAAUACCUGUUUUAAGAGUAUUCCUCUCUUCUCUUCUCUUGCCUGGGACCUGGUGAACGGUUGCUUCGAGUGUAAAUGGCACAUUAGGUACGGGUAUUAAUUUCUUUAUUUUAAAUGGAAUGUGACAUGUUUUCAGAUGAAACCCCAGGAUAUCUAUUAGGAGAGUAAGAAUAUAUGUUAGACACCAAACAUCCUUGAUACUUAAUCUUUAAUACAGACAACCAAAGUGGUCUGGUUUUUCUAUGCUAAAAUCAAUUAUUGGGUUCCAGUUUUUGAGGCAAAGUACUUAAUUAGGCGAUCUUAACCGACUUCUGGGUAGGGUCUCAUUUCUUGAUGAUUAGUGAGGCGGUGUAUGAAAGAAGUCUCCCCAGUCGUGUCUAAGUGUAAUAACGCAUGACGUCUCCAAUUCAUCAGGGAAGUCCAUUGUUUUCAGUUUCGAAGUUGUCUCACCCUUUGCAUAUGCCCGCCAUUGCCGUUUUAUACUCAUAAUUAAAUCUCCUUCCUCUUUAAUGUCUUCCAUUUGUUUUUUAGGUUCUUUUAUAAUGACAAAAUAAAAAAAAACAUUCAUUUUUCAAGAGAUAAACUGAGGGUGCUGAUUUUGAAUCUAGUGUCAAAUCUCAACAUAUGACGCACCGUCUUGGGUUAGAUAUAAUCAAAGCCCUUAUUAAGAUUCAGCAAAAAAAAAGACAAGAUAUGCAGUUAGUUAUGCUAGAUUAUAUGCAAUUUUUUAUUGCUGCGAUAAGAACGACGAGAGAUUAAUCUGAAAUUAAACCCGCUUUGUUCAUAUAGGCUGCGGUUGUGGCAAGAGUUUUUAGGCCACAGAUUUCACCAAGUUUGUUUUCACACCAAUUCUCGACAUACGCAGUAGUAAUGGAUCUUGACAGUGUUAUUCUUCUGGUUAUUAUGAAAUUAUGUGACUGUAAUGGACUUUUCGCUUUAAGUACCUCAGAUGACAAUUAUCCGAUGAUGAAUUCAGCUUUACCAUCUGGUUCGUACGCCUCGUAUUCCCGGUACAGCCCGCUGUCUACGCGACAUUUGGCAGGAAAUAAUAUAGCAGUGACAUCGUUCUCAUACAAUGAUGAUGAUGACUCUUGCCCGGACAGAUGCACCGGGUGUCCGACAUCAUGCUUCAAACCAGAGCCAAACACUAGCUAUGAAGUGUAUGACGUCCUUUAUCCUGGACUUUUUCAAUCACCUGCCAAAUUGGAUCAAAUUGACAUGAAGACAUUUGGGAGGAAAUUGUCCAAGAAGACUGGAUUGAAAAGUAAUUUUACCAUCUUUAAAAAACAAGCGCCAAUUUAUAAACAAAAGAACAGUGUCGUCUUCUCGAAAAGGCGAGAGCGGGACGCAGAAGAUGAUAAUGACGCUGUCUCGAAUCGGGGUACUGUCGGCUCGGAUUCGAGUCUAUUAGUAGAUGGAGAUAUAUGCUGUCCUGCAGAACUGACUCGAUUUCAACCCAUGGAGCCUAUAAAGGACAUUAACGGAGAAAUGUAUCUCGUUGUCCAGCUUGACAGGGUGAAUAAAUACCAAAGCGUCACGGUAUCAGAGUGCAAGUUUAAUGGAAUCAUGGAGUACUGCCCGGGACAAUGUGUGACAACUAUGGGAGUUUUCACUCUACUGGCUUUCUGCAAACCAGAGAAUUCCUGUCGAAAUAAAGUAGAUUCGUCUGUCUCUUUUGAGCAAUUCGAGUUGCCCACGGGAUGCAUAUGCAAAAAUUUUAACGGAUGAAAGGAAUAAGUCAAAACAAUUAAUUUCCGUAGAUUGUGUCUUUCAUGUUUGAUUUAAGUUGAUAUACUUUAUUAUUUAUAUCAACACGACGUUUGUUAAGUACAUUUUCCUAGGUAUAUUUUAAAUUGACAAGAAUUUUUUUUCCAGUGACAAUAAGAUGAAAUGUACUUUUUUUGUUUUAACCAGAACAAACACAGUGCAAAUUAUUCAUUUACUUGAAAGACAAAAAAGGUGUUAAAUGAAUGUCUAAAAUACAGGUACCUAUGAUACAACGUAGGCCUAUGUAUAUA